rnacentral:miRNA from 1 species
UCACGGAGAGGAGAAACUGCAC